UUAUACACUGGGAUCAUUGUCACUUGAAAAAAAAAACAUUAUUGUGGUUGUGGGAGAAAGCUCUAGAUCUGUGCCAUAAUAGAUAUGCAUUGCAAUUGUAUGCCAUGUCUCCAUUUUAAAUUUGAGUUUCCCUUUCGUUUUUACUCACCACCAAAGAAUCUCAAAUGUAAAAUUUUAUAUUGGGUUUGAACCACUGACGUGUCCAUUCUGAUAUAUGCAGUCAUUUUGAAUUUGGUCUGUGCCUUCUCUGGAUCCCUCCCUAGCCUGUGCCCCGAGCCGUCCAUAGAGAGUUUGUAGGUAUUUCCAGGGAUGGAGAAGAUCUAAGCAUUUGACUUCCCCAUCAGUACAUUUGUUCAUUUGCUUUCUCUGUGAAACGCCAUGAUUGUCUAAACAAGUCUCCCCUCUGCCCUGAUCCCUUUGUACCAAGUCAAUGGCCACUUGAAAGUUCUGUGGACUCCCUUGUGGCCUCAACCCGUUCGUCCUUCAGCCUGUCAUCCUUCAGGCACCGACGCCCAACCUGCCGUGACCUGUGCUGUAUGAACAACCUCACUGAGGAUUUCCUCCCGGCAGAAAAGCAGCAAGCUCUGCAAAUAUCCCAAAGUUAUGCCUCUGAACACAUGUCUUCUAUAUGCAAGUUUUGUGAAACCUGCCUCCUUCCCGUGCAAUGUGUCCCUCCUCACAAGUGCUUAGUUUCUGUUAACUAGAAGUAUCAUUCUUGGGUGGAAAUAGGUCUCCGUUUACCUGAGCUGAGGGUUGUUUGGAAAAUAAGAGCCAAUUUUUCUUAGAAUAUAUAUGUAUAUUAAAUGAGCAUUUGACCUGUAGAUACAUAGUGUGCCGUUUGGCCAGAGCUCCUGGUGUCAAAUGCUGGGAACAGGAGUCUUCUUACAAAUUAUUUUUCUCCUCUUUCCUCUCGCCCUCUCUUUCACUAUUUUCCCCCCAGACUGGAAUUUCCUCAGCUUUAUCUUGUCUUGCUUUGAAGUUUUGCUCAAUGUUCCUCCCUUCCGACCACUUCCACUUAAAUAAAGUCUUUAAGUAGCUGAAGGAUUAACAGUCUGGUGGGAGGCAAGCCAUUGAACUGAACCACGAGGAAAGUAUAUUUUCUUCUUUUCUUUUCCUGCCAAGUUUUCGGUGGCAUUUGUAGAAGCUGGUGUGAAAGGCUAGGAGGCAUUGUUUUCUAUUAUUCCUCGGUGAAGCCUUUUCCCAGAGCAUAUGUCUCCGGCAGGCAGUGUGGGUUCUUGCCAAGCAUCAGAACCAGUCUCCAGGGCCUCCCGACGCCGAUCCAUAGUACUGUACAGACCCACCGCCACCCUUCUCCUCGGAAGAUGCACUGUGCUGUUUGAAAACAUGUAGCCGUUUAAGGCUAGAGUAUUUUAUAUAAAUAGAAGAGCUUAGGUCCUGAAGACCAAGGCAGAUAGAUGCAGCUAUGUGUACAUUGUAUAUUUUUGUGAACUUCUCAAGCACGCACUCCCGUUUCCCUCUGCUUUGCAGAGGUUUUGAUGUAUCCCUGCCGUCUGCAAGAGUCCAGAGGCUGGACUGACAGUAGGAAGUAGAAAUAAGCUAUGUGUAGUCUUGGAAAGUUCCCACCUCACAGGGAAUGAAACCUAGGGAACACCAGGUACUCGGCGCCCUGUGGACUGUGUGGAAACUGAUUUUUCUUUUUUCUAUACUGAAUACCCUUUGAGAUUUGUGUGGGACAUGGGUCCAUGUGGGUUUAGUGACAGAGAAGAGUUCCUCCAAGGACUCUUGGAGAGGGGCCACAUCUGAGGAGACAGGUGAGAAGUCUCCAUCACUGCUUGGUGCCUGGCAAGCUGGAGAGGUCAGCCUGCUGCCAGGCAACUGGCUGUCUUUGGGAGGGGUGGCUCUUAAGACUCUACCUCUGAUUGCAUCACUAGGACUAACUACAAGCUGGCUGGGGAUACUCCCUUGUGUGUUCUGUCCUAUCCAGAUGGCCUGCUAGAUUGAAUUAUACUCACCAACACAUAGAACAGGCCCUUUAGAAGGCACUAGGUGUUUGGAGGUGAGCUAGGAAGACCAGUGGUAUGUUGAGCCCCUUACAGAUAAGCACCGGUGUCUCUUUGGUGCACCUUGCCUUCAGAUGCUCCUGGUGGUCAGCUCAACUAGCAAGACCCUAGUCCCCUGUUCCAAAGCCAUCUCAUAUGUUAGUUCUCUGUCCCAUGAAGAGGGCCGUGGUGAGUUCCCGAGAAUUGUCUCUCUUUCAGCAGAGAGGUGAGGGACUCAGACAUAUAUCUAAGUUGAAUAGCAUCCCCAUCGCAGCUGUAAGAAUUGAGCUGCAGAAGGUACCCUCUGUCGGGAUUGUAUCUCGACAUCCCUGUCGCGUUUUUCUUAGCUGGAGUGUGUGCUGCCUUUCAGGUACAACUUUUAUGUAAUAAAAGCCAGAGCAUUAAGCUUACACAGACUACUUUCUAUGCAAGACAGAGAUAUGGACUAGGUUACAGGAAACGUGCACCGUUGGCUCCACAGACAAGAAGUGCAUUGCCAGAAGAGCAUCACUGAACGGAGCGGAGGGAGGACCAGUUGCAUGUGUUUCUGCCCACUCAUUUUGAGCAGCCAUAUUAUAAAAUGGAUCAUCAGAGCUGAGUGACAACACGAGAGUGGUACUGGUUUCAUGUGCGAGGACUUCCAUGGACUGAACAUGGAUGCCGGAGCAGAGCAUCAAUUCCUUCAUAGAUUCCAAGUCACUCCUCGAUGAAGACUCUUGUUGAGACUUACUAAACACUUUAGGCGCAGUCGGGAGGAUCUGCAGCAAAAUAAAGGCCUGUUCUGCUCUUAUUUAACAUGAAGCACUGUGUACUUGUUUCUUCUCUCCAAAGUAAAAUUAGAUUAUUUAUAACUUCGAUCGCCUCGGCUAGGUUUCCAAGUCACUGAUUUCUGCUGAAGAUUUUACUACGUUGUUGCACAAUUUUAAGAUAAUUUUUUUUUUUGGUCUUGGUGUCAACCUUUUUCACUGAAUAAAAAUUUAACUGGGUUAAAAAAGAAAAACAAUGAAAAAAAAUAAAGACACCGCCAUCACCUAUUUAAAUAUCCACUGUGUGUGUCACAAAGUUGUUCUUUUGAGUGCAAUAAAGAUAGCUUAAC
rnacentral:lncRNA from 1 species